rnacentral:piRNA from 1 species
UUAAAGCAAAAGGACAAUCUUCCACACAGG